rnacentral:rRNA from 1 species
AUUGGAGAGCUUGCUUUCCAUGAGAGUGGCGCACGGGUGCGUAACACGUAUGUAACCUACCUUCGUCAGGGGGAUAGCCUCUCGAAAGAGAGAUUAAGACCGCAUAACAUUACAAUGUGGCAUCACAAAGUAAUCAAAUAUUUAUAGGACGAAGAUGGGCAUGCGGAACAUUAGCUAGUUGGUAAGGUAACGGCUUACCAAGGCUACGAUGUUUAGGGGAUCUGAGAGGAUGACCCCCCACACUGGUACUGAGACACGGACCAGACUCCUACGGGAGGCAGCAGUAAGGAAUAUUGGUCAAUGGGCGGAAGCCUGAACCAGCCAUGCCGCGUGCAGGAAGACGGCCCUACGGGUUGUAAACUGCUUUUGUACGGGAAUAAACCUUAGUAUGUAUACUAAGCUGAAUGUACUGUAAGAAUAAGGAUCGGCUAACUCCGUGCCAGCAGCCGCGGUAAUACGGAGGAUCCAAGCGUUAUCCGGAUUUAUUGGGUUUAAAGGGUGCGUAGGUGGUUCUUUAAGUCAGGGGUGAAAGACGGCAGCUUAACUGUCGCAGUGCCUUUGAUACUGAAGAACUUGAAUGAACUAGAGGUAGGCGGAAUGUGACAAGUAGCGGUGAAAUGCAUAGAUAUGUCACAGAACACCAAUUGCGAAGGCAGCUUACUAUGGUUUGAUUGACACUGAGGCACGAAAGCGUGGGGAUCAAACAGGAUUAGAUACCCUGGUAGUCCACGCCCUAAACGAUGAAUACUCGAUGUUGGCGAUAUACGGUCAGCGUCUAAGCGAAAGCGUUAAGUAUUCCACCUGGGGAGUACG